rnacentral:rRNA from 1 species
CUCGUAGGCGGCUCGUCGCGUCCGGUGUGAAAGUCCAUCGCUUAACGGUGGAUCCGCGCCGGGUACGGGCGGGCUGGAGUGCGGGUAGGGGAGACUGGAAUUCCCGGUGUAACGGUGGAAUGUGUAGAUAUCGGGAAGAACACCAAUGGCGAAGGCAGGUCUCUGGGCCGUUACUGACGCUGAGGAGCGAAAGCGUGGGGAGCGAACA